GGGCCGAUGAGGAAAUCAUUCAUGUAAUACACCAUCUUUCGGGACUGAAUGGCUUGUUUAGCCUUGCUGACAUUCUGCAAUUCUGAGGCCC